UAAAGGUAUUCCGGUAGACGAUGGGGAUGCGUUCCAUUAGAUAGUAGGCGGGGUAACGGCCCACCUAGUCUUCGAUGGAUAGGGGUUCUGAGAGGAAGGUCCCCCACAUUGGAACUGAGACACGGUCCAAACUCCUACGGGAGGCAGCAGUGAGGAAUAUUGGUCAAUGGGCGAGAGCCUGAACCAGCCAAGUAGCGUGAAGGAUGACUGCCCUAUGGGUUGUAAACUUCUUUUAUAAAGGAAUAAAGUCGGGUAUGGAUACCCGUCUGCAUGUACUUUAUGAAUAAGGAUCGGCUAACUCCGUGCCAGCAGCCGCGGUAAUACGGAGGAUCCGAGCGUUAUCCGGAUUUAUUGGGUUUAAAGGGAGCGUAGAUGGAUAUUUAAGUCAGUUGUGAAAGUUUGCGGCUCAACCGUAAAAUUGCAGUUGAUACUGGAUAUCUUGAGUGCAGUUGAGGCAGGCGGAAUUCGUGGUGUAGCGGUGAAAUGCUUAGAUAUCACGAAGAACUCCGAUUGCGAAGGCAGCCUGCUAAGCUGCAACUGACAUUGAGGCUCGAAAGUGUGGGUAUCAAACAGGAUUAGAUACCCUGGUAGUCCACACGGUAAACGAUGAAUACUCGCUGUUUGCGAUAUACUGCAA
rnacentral:rRNA from 1 species